GACGUAGGGCGCGAGCGUUGUCCGGAUUUAUUGGGCGUAAAGAGCUCGUAGGCGGCUCGUUGCGUCAACCGUGAAAACCCGGGGCUUAACUUCGGGCUUGCGGUUGAUACGGGCGGGCUGGAGUUCGGUAGGGGAGACUGGAAUUCCUGGUGUGGCGGUGAAAUGCGCAGAUAUCAGGAGGAACACCGGUGGCGAAGGCGGGUCUCUGGGCCGAUACUGACGCUGAGGAGCGAAAGCGUGGGGAGCGAACAGG
rnacentral:rRNA from 1 species